GAUGAACGCUGGCGGCGUGCUUAACACAUGCAAGUCGAGCGAAAAGACGCGGCGCUUGUUCCUUUGACGUUUGCGGAGGACGGGUGAGUAACACGUGGAUCCUCCCCUUAUAAGACUGGGAUAAUCACGGGACUCCGGCGAUAAUCCCGGAUAAUCUACUGCACCGCAUGGUUCAAUAGAGAAAGACGGCUUUGCUGUCACUAAUAGCUGGAUAUGAGCCGCAUUAGUUAGUUGGUACGGUCACGGCCUAUCACGGCAACUAUGCGUAGCCGACGUGAGAGAGUGAUCGGCCACACUAGAGCGUGAACGCGGUCCAGACUCCUGCGAGAGGCAGCAGUAGGGAAUCGUCCGCAGUGGGCGGAAGCUUGGCAGAGCAACGCCGCGUGUGUGAUGAAAGUCUUCGGAUCGUAAAACUCGGUUAUGAGGGAAAAACAAAUGUGUAAUUAACUGUGCACGUCUUGACGGUACCUAGUCAGAAAGCCACGGCUAACUACGUG
rnacentral:rRNA from 1 species